rnacentral:rRNA from 1 species
UGAUACUAAGCCAUGCGAGACCAUUGCAGUAAUGCAAGGCAGACGGCUCAGUAACGCGUAGUCAACCUACCCUAUGGACGGGAAUAACCUCGGGAAACUGAGUAUAAUGCCCGAUAGAACACUAUUCCUGGAAUGGUUUGUGUUCCAAAUGAUUUAUCGCCGUAGGAUGGGACUGCGGCCUAUCAGUUUGUUGGUGAGGUAAUGGCCCACCAAGACUAUUACAGGUACGGGCUCUGAGAGGAGUAGCCCGGAGAUGGGUACUGAGACACGGACCCAGGCCCUAUGGGGCGCAGCAGGCGAGAAAACUUUGCAAUGUGCGAAAGCACGACAAGGUUAAUCCGAGUGGUUUGUGCUAAACGAACCUUUUGACAGUCCUAGAAACACUGUUGAAUAAGGGGUGGGCAAGUUCUGGUGUCAGCCGCCGCGGUAAAACCAGCACCUCAAGUGGUCAGGAUGAUUAUUGGGCCUAAAGCAUCCGUAGCCGGCUCUGUAAGUUUUCGGUUAAAUCUGUACGCUCAACGUACAGGCUGCCGGGAAUACUGCAGAGCUAGGGAGUGGGAGAGGUAGACGGUACUCGGUAGGAAGGGGUAAAAUCCUUUGAUCUAUUGAUGACCACCUGUGGCCGAAAGGCGGUCUACAGAACACGUUCCGACGGUGAGGGAUGAAAGCUGGGGGAGCAAAACCGGGAUUAGAUACCCGGGGUAGUCCCAGCUGGUAAACUAUCCAAACUCCGUG